rnacentral:rRNA from 1 species
ACGGGUUGUAAACUUCUUUUGUAUGGGAGUAAAAAAGGGUUACGUGUAACCUCUUGCAAGUACCAUACGAAUAAGCAUCGGCUAACUCCGUGCCAGCAGCCGCGGUAAUACGGAGGAUGCGAGCGUUAUCCGGAUUUAUUGGGUUUAAAGGGUGCGUAGGCGGGGAAAUAAGUCAGCGGUGAAAGUUUGAGGCUCAACCUUAAAAUUGCCGUUGAAACUGUUUUUCUUGAGUAUAUUUGAAGUAGGCGGAAUUCGUAGUGUAGCGGUGAAAUGCAUAGAUAUUACGAAGAACUCCAAUUGCGAAGGCAGCUUACUAAACUAUAACUGACGCUGAAGCACGAAAGCGUGGGUAUCAAACAGGAUUAGAUACCCUGGUAGUCCACGCCGUAAACGAUGAUUACUAGCUGUUUGUGAUAUUACAAUAAGCGGCUAAGCGAAAGCGAUAAGUAAUCCACCUGGGGAGUACGCCGGCAACGGUGAAACUCAAAGGAAUUGACGGGGGCCCGCACAAGCGGAGGAACAUGUGGUUUAAUUCGAUGAUACGCGAGGAACCUUACCCGGGCUUGAAAUGCAUCUGACCGCUUAAGAAAUUAGGCUUCUAGCAAUAGCAGAUGUGUAGGUGCUGCAUGGUUGUCGUCAGCUCGUGCCGUGAGGUGUCGGCUUAAGUGCCAUAACGAGCGCAACCCACAUUGUUAGUUACUAACAGGUCAAGCUGAGGACUCUGACAAGACUGCCAGCGUAAGCUGUGAGGAAGGUGUGGAUGACGUCAAAUCAGCACGGCCCUUAUGUCCGGGGCGACACACGUGUUACAAUGGAUGGUACAGAGGGUCGCUACCUAGUGAUAGGAUGCUAAUCUCGAAAGCCAUUCCCAGUUCGGAUUGGAGUCUGCAACUCGACUCCAUGAAGCUGGAUUCGCUAGUAAUCGCGCAUCAGCCAUGGCGCGGUGAAUACGUUCCCGGGCCUUGUACACACCGCCCGUCAUC